GAUGAACGCUGGCGGCGUGCCUAAUACAUGCAAGUCGAGCGAACAGAUCAGGAGCUUGCUCCUUUGACGUUAGCGGAGGACGGGUGAGUAACACGUGGGUAACCUACCUAUAAGACUGGAAUAACUCCGGGAAACCGGGGCUAAUGCCGGAUAACCUUUAGAACCGCAUGGUUCUAAAGUGAAAGAUGGUUUUGCUAUCACUUAUAGAUGGACCCGCGCCGUAUUAGCUAGUUGGUACGGUAACGGCUUACCAAGGCAACUAUACGUAGCCGACCGGAGAGGGGGAUAGGCCACAUGGGAACUGGGCCACGGUCCAGACUCCUACGGGAGGCAGCAGUAUGGAAUCGGCCGCAAUGGGCGAAAGCCUGACGGAGCAACGCCGCGUGAGUGAUGAAGGUCUUCGGAUCGUAAAACUCUGUUAUUAGGGAAGAACAAAUGUGUAAGUAACUGUGCACGUCUUGACGGUACCUAAUCAGAAAGCCACGGCUAACUACGUG
rnacentral:rRNA from 1 species